CGGGUUGUAAAGCCCUGUUGGGUGGAAAGAAGGGCUCAGGAGCGAAUAACUCUUGAGUCUUGACGGUACCACCAGAGGAAGCACCGGCUAACUCCGUGC
rnacentral:rRNA from 1 species